UCUCAGAAAUUGGCAUGACUUCCCUU
rnacentral:piRNA from 1 species